AAUCAGACUAUUGAAAUGUCAGUUUUAGUGCAGGAGGUUUUUGUACAGCCGCUGAUUGGGUUUGUAUCACUGUGGCGCACGUUCGGUGGAGGAACUCGACUCUCAGUUGGAACUGCCACCCGUCCCACUCUCACGGUCCUGCCGCCCUCCAGAGUCGAGCUGCAGCAGGGUAAGGCUACAGUGGUGUGUGUGGGCAGUAAGGGAUUCCCCUCUGACUGGAAGCUGAGCUGGAAGGUGGAUGGCAGCAGCAGGAGCUCUGCUGUGAAUCUGAGUCCCAGUGUGCUGCAGAAGGAUGGACUGUACAGCUGGAGCAGCAGCCUGAGCCUCACUGAGAGUGAGUGGAGGAGAGCAACAACCAUCAGCUGUGACGCCACGUACCCAUCCCAGAAUGCAGUGACCGAGAGCCUGAACACACAGCAGUGUGAUGACCAGUGAAACACACACAGAUCACACAUAGAUUAUAGGCAUGCAUAAUCAUUCAUUUACUCACACAUACACACAGUAAAGGUUUGUUAGCAUUGUUUUACAAUUUGCUCUUUAAGUUAAUUUUUCUUUAAGCCUGUUAAUUUUUCUUUUUACACAUAUUUUGAUUGUUAUUAAACAAAAAAAUUUGCCAAAUAAAAGCUUUUUGAAUCAUUAA